UACGGGGGGAGCAAGCGUUGUUCGGAUUUACUGGGCGUAAAGGGCGCGUAGGCGGUCGUGACAAGUCACUUGUGAAAUCUCCGGGCUUAACUCGGAACGGUCAACUGAUACUGCGCGGCUAGAGUGCAGAAGGGGCAACUGGAAUUCUCGGUGUAGCGGUGAAAUGCGUGAGAUAUCAGAGGAACACCUGCGGCGAAGGCGGGUUGCUGGGCUGACACUGACGCUGAUGCGCGAAAGCCAGGGGAGCGAACGGGG
rnacentral:rRNA from 1 species